GGCUAACCUGCCCUUAGGACGAGAAUAACCCCGGGAAACUGGGGCUAAUGCUCGAUAGGUGAAGAACUCUGGAAUGAGUCUUCACUUAAAAGAGUCUGCGUUAUGCUCGUAGAUUUCGCUUAAGGAUGGGGCCGCGACCGAUCAGGUUGUUGGUGAGGUAAUGGCUCACCAAGCCUUUUACCGGUGCGGGCCGUGAGAGCGGGAGCCCGGAGAUGGGCACUGAGACAAGGGCCCAGGCCCUACGGGGCGCAGCAGUCGCGAAAACUUUGCAAUACACGAAAGUGUGACAGGGCUAUCCCGAGUGCCAUCCGCUGAGGAAGGCUUUUACCCAGUCUAGAAAGCUGGGGGAAUAAGGAGAGGGCAAGUCUGGUGUCAGCCGCCGCGGUAAUACCAGCUCUCCGAGUGGUGUGGAUGUUUAUUGGGCCUAAAGCAUCCGUAGCUGGCUAAGUUAGUCCCCUGUUAAAUCCAACGAAUUAAUCGUUGGAUCGCGGGGGAUACUGCUUGGCUAGGGGACGAGAGAGGCAGACGGUAUUUCCGGGGUAGGGGUGAAAUCCUAUAAUCCCGGGAAGACCACCAGUGGCGAAGGCUGUCUGCUAGAACGCGCCCGACGGUGAGGGAUGAAAGCUGGGGGAGCGAACCGGAUUAGAUACCCGGGUAGUCCCAGCUGUAAACGAUGCAGGCUAGGUGUUUGGACGGCCACGUGCCGUUCUAGUGCCGCAGGGAAGCUGUUAAGCCUGCCGCCUGGGGAGUACGAUCGCAAGAUUGAAACUUAA
rnacentral:rRNA from 1 species